rnacentral:tRNA from 1 species
CCUUCGAUAGCUCAGUUGGUAGAGCGGUGGACUGUAGCGAGCGCGCCGAGACUCAAUGUGUGGGGAAAAUACUCACCACGCAUUGGAAUCGAAAUAGUAAUCCAUAGGUCACUGGUUCAAAUCCGGUUCGAAGGA